ACCCCCAAUCAUUCCACUUGAGUAGCAGGUGAUGUCACUGAGGCAUCCUUUUUAUUUUGAAAAAAACCUCUUUUAAAUAUGCGAGUCUGUAAUUAUAUACAUCUAGUAGUUCGUGCGUGUAAUCCAAGUUUAUAAUAACGUUUAUAGCUCAAUGCAAAAAAAAAAAGAAGCGGUUUUAAGUAAAUCUCCAACCUACAGACGACCAGCUAAACGAGGCUGCUGGAUAACGCUAAUGAGCUGGAAGAGAGUGUGUGGCUAAACAUCUUGUCCACAGCAGCCUCCUCCCAGGCCAUGGUGGUAUGUGGCAGGCAGGUUUUUGUAGACAGCGCGACUGUAAGGGAUGAAACAGAGGCUGAGCUGCAGGAGACGAGCCAAUCUGCAAUAGGCAGCCAACGCCAGAACAAGCAGUGGAGUGACAAGCAGGAAGCCCACGAUUAACAUAGCCACACAGCCUCCGUCACUCAGCAGGCCCGAACAAUAGGGUGAUGUAUCAUUUGGACGCACCUUAGAAAGCGAGAGUGUGAUCAUAGUGGAUCACUUGGUCAUUGGAGCCCUUGAAGAGUCUGCAGUGGGCUCCUGGGAUGAUGUGAACUCUCCUGACCUCACUAAUGCUCCUGUUUAAACAUCUGAGAAAUACCAGAGAUUAAGAGAUUAUGUACCAGAAAGGAGAGAAAGACCACACAUCUUCCUGAUUUCUGUGGUUAACAUUUGUCAUGAUUGGUGGAGUGGCACAUAAAUCCAAACACCACCAUAACUAUGACAGGAGUGAGGAUCAGGCCAAACACCAAAGCAGCCAGGAACACGUUAAUAGUAGCUAUCACCAGGUUCUGGGCUGUUACAAGUACUGAAC